CUGAGACCUGAUGCCGAGCCGAUUGUGGUGAAGUGGAUGAUCCUAUGCUGUCGAGAAAAGCCUCUAGCGAGUUUCAUGGCGGCCCGUACCCCAAACCGACUCAGGUGGUCAGGUAGAGAAUACCGAGGCGUUCGGGUGAACUGUGGUUAAGGAACUCGGCAAAAUGCCCCCGUAACUUCGGGAGAAGGGGGGCCAUUGCUGGUGAUGGGACUUGCUCCUUGAGCUGGUGGUGGCCGCAGAGACCAGCGAGAAGCGACUGUUUACUAAAAACACAGGUCCGUGCGAAGCCGUAAGGCGAUGUAUACGGACUGACGCCUGCCCGGUGCUGGAACGUUAAGGGGACCGGUUAGUCCGACUUCGGUCGGGCGAAGCUGAGAACUUAAGCGCCAGUAAACGGCGGUGGUAACUAUAACCAUCCUAAGGUAGCGAAAUUCCUUGUCGGGUAAGUUCCGACCUGCACGAAUGGCGUAACGACUUCUCGACUGUCUCAACCACAGGCCCGGUGAAAUUGCAUUACGAGUAAAGAUGCUCGUUUCGCGCAGCAGGACGGAAAGACCCCGGGACCUUUACUAUAGCUUGAUAUUGGUGUUCGGUUCGGCUUGUGUAGGAUAGGUGGGAGACUUUGAAGCAGCAACGCCAGUUGUUGUGGAGUCGCCGUUGAAAUACCACUCUGGUCGUGCUGGAUGUCUAACCUGGGUCCGUGAUCCGGAUCAGGGACAGUGUCUGGUGGGUAGUUUAACUGGGGCGGUUGCCUCCUAAAGGGUAACGGAGGCGCCCAAAGGUUCCCUCAGCCUGGUUGGCAAUCAGGUGUUGAGUGUAAGUGCACAAGGGAGCUUGACUGUGAGACUGACGGGUCGAGCAGGUACGAAAGUAGGGACUAGUGAUCCGGCGGUGGCUUGUGGAAGCGCCGUCGCUCAACGGAUAAAAGGUACCCCGGGGAUAACAGGCUGAUCUUCCCCAAGAGUCCAUAUCGACGGGAUGGUUUGGCACCUCGAUGUCGGCUCGUCGCAUCCUGGGGCUGGAGUAGGUCCCAAGGGUUGGGCUGUUCGCCCAUUAAAGCGGUACGCGAGCUGGGUUUAGAACGUCGUGAGACAGUUCGGUCCCUAUCCGCUGUGCGCGUAGGAGUGUUGAGAAGGGCUGUCCCUAGUACGAGAGGACCGGGACGGACGAACCUCUGGUGUGCCAGUUGUCCUGCCAAGGGCAUGGCUGGUUGGCUACGUUCGGGAGGGAUAACCGCUGAAAGCAUCUAAGCGGGAAGCCUGCUUCGAGAUGAGCACUCCCACCUCCUUGAGAGGGUAAGGCUCCCAGUAGACGACUGGGUUGAUAGGCCGGAUAUGGAAGCCCUGUGAGGGGUGGAGUUGACCGGUACUAAUAGGCCGAGGGCUUGUCCU
rnacentral:rRNA from 1 species